AAACACUCCACAGGUGAGGAGAGGGACUCUGGAAUUGACUUCUCUACAUGGACUGGGCGCCCCAACCUGGAGAGCAUCCUGUGUCUCCUCUGCUGGGAAUCUUCUGCUACUUCUAGGAGUCAAGGAUGGAGAAAAGGAACAAGAAGAAGAAGAAGAAAAGGAAGAAGAAGAAGAAGAAGCAGUCAGGAGCCGGAGUACCGGAGCGAGCGGAAAACAAACCGUGAUGGAUAGACACGUGCCGGCGUACAGAGGAACCUAUUUGGACUGGCGUGUCAGCCCAUCUUUAUCAAAUGUUGCAGAGAACCCCGCUCCACUGCUCCCUUCCCUCCACCUCCCCCGUCUUCCUGCCCAUUUAGCCACUGUGAGCUGCAGGAUCGGAGCUUUAGAGUGAGCGCGAAAAGCGCAGCCCCUUCUCUGCCGGAUGGCCGAGGGAACGCUGCGAUGCUUCGGAGGAGUUUGGAGGGGGAUAGAUAUCGAUUCACACUGCAUGACUGGGGCCGCUAACGAAGCCCCUCCCCUGCCUGCCCCAUCUCAUGACAACCACCUGCCUCGCCGCGCAGCCAUUGGCCGAGCCUCGGCAGCGCCUCUGCCAAUCAAAGCCCCACUGAUGGCCCCUGCUUGAGCAUGACCUCAGGAUGACAUCACUGGAAAGGCAUUAAAGUAAUAAAGGGCUUGCUAGUACAAUACAGUAAAGGGCAGGGCAACAUAAAGCCUCAUCAAUCAGAGCGUACACAGAAUUCAAAUAGAGGCAUCUCACUCUUAGUUGAACGAGAGGUCAUCUCUUCCGAAGCGCCGUCUCCCCUGGAAAAACUUCUCCCUCCAAGUCUAUCAGUUCUGUCGUAAUGUUUUGAGUAUAUCUGCACUGCACACCUUGUCGGUAAAAUGGAGACAGGCUGUUUAAGUGUGUUUGUGUGUGUGUGUGGGGCGGGGGGUGGAUAGAGGUAUAUUACCACAUAGGAAGGUGGGGAUCAAUAGUAAAUCCUCCUGAGCUGUAGGUAUUUCUCCUGAGAUGUGGGGACUCUUGAGUCUAAUCAAUGAAAACCACGCCGAGCAUCUUGGACUUGAUGGAAGUUUGGACUGAUGGGAAUCCAGCGUGAGAUGAGUUACAGCGGCCAUCAUAAAAAGGAGAGGCGAACGAUCGUCCAAAAUCAAAACAACUCGAACUCAAGGUGGCGUUUCAGAGCAGAAAUGUGUCCCCACUGGUCAACAUUAGAUCGUGUUAAGGUCAACGUAGUUUUAGAAGAUAUACUUUGAUUGUACGACACAAACGUAGUAAAACUACCCAAUGUCUUCUUCAGCUUUUCUUCAGAAAGGAAAGGUCUGUUCACAAACGAUAAAUGUUUGACUUUGAGAAAUGAAACUAUAUCCACUGACUCAAUCAUAACAGCUACAUUUCAGGCCUACAAGUGUUGUGGGGUUAGAGCAGCGGUAAAUGCUGUGGACUUGCUGAGAACAUGUUUCUGUCAUUAUUGUCUGGAGACUUGUCUUGGUCUUGGCCCUCAAUAACUUCAGACUAGACUUGGACUCUGAAAAAAUGACUUGUGACCAUCUGUGGUAUUCUGCAGCCAGAACUUCUGCAUCAUUUCGCAGUGCACAGUCUCUGAAAUAGAGUUUAAAUCAAUUCAAAAUCAGAGGAAGUUUGCAUUACUUACUACCUUUUAUUAAGUAAUAGCCUGUGAAAGAUACCUGCCAAGGAUUCACUCAUUCAUGUGUGCACCUUUUUUUAAGCAUAAAUACAUUGUUUACAAUCUCAGGAGAUUAUGAUUGUUAAACUUUGCAUCUCGCAAAUCCUAAAACAUUUAAAUUUUACUCAAAUCCCUCAAAAAACUCUGAUGACAGAAUCUGACUUUAUUGACUCUCAGAAGCUAUAAAAGGAAGUCUUUGUUUCACAUAAUUCAAGGACUUAUGUGGAUUUUAUUUUUGUAUUUUAAUGUAAACACUGUGACACGCUGCGUUGUGACAGGGUUAAAAUGUUGUUUGCAAACUUAAAUAUCAGUUACUUAUGUUGGUUAUUUUAUUGUUACCAGAAAAUAUAAUUAGUUAACAAAUGUUUAGCAUCCUCCUGUCAAAGAGCUUUUCUUGGUUUAGGAUAAAGGCAAAAACACAUUACCUACUUUACCAUAACUAUUUAAGAUUAUAAUCUCAAUUGACCUCCGAUCCAGGGGUGAAAAUGAUGGAGGUAGAAAAAAAUGCCCUCGAAAGUUUAUCUUUAUUCCAAAAGAAGUCCUAAAAAUGCAACAAAAAAAAAAACUUUUAAAUAAAAAAGUCUGAUUAAAAAAAAACUGCAAGACUUCGAGCUUUUAAAAAGUGCAUAGAAAAAAAAGCUUUUAUUACUGCAUAUUGAAAAUCGAGGUCACCGAUGCCACGGGAUCUUGAGUGACAAUAGAGAGUAGACAAUAAAAGAGUAAUAAACAACCGGGGUAAACACACUGAAGCGAGAUUCAAGAUGAUUGGCUUUGAUAAACACUGUGCAUGGUGAACGACUUUUCAAAGACUUGGAGCAUUUUUUCCCUCUAUUUUGAGGAAUGCAACUUUUACUGGUUUGACUGGACCCAUCAUAAAUCUGUCUGCUGGGUAACCGUUCUGCCCAGUUGGGACGAACAAUAAAGUUGUUUUUGAGAUCCUGGUAAGAUGUACAGUUGAUGGGGUUUAUUUUAAAAUAUCAGUAACCCAAUGCAGUUUUCUCAUUUAUGGCUCAGGGGGACACAGUAACAUGGCUGUGCUUUAAAUGCUUUGAUGGUCAUUUGUAAUCAAACAAAAAAAAUUUUAAGAACGUACAAUACUCAUCUUCAUUUAUGCCUCUAUCCUUGAUCAGACUUUUAUUCAACUGUAAAGAAAUGCCUAAAUGUAAAUGAGAUUGGUUGGUAUGUUUGCAGUGUGAAAAUGGUUGAUCUAAUUAACUUAAUGACUUCCAAUUUUUCACUGUUUGUCCAGCAAAUUCCCGCUGCUGUAUGUAGCAUGAGUUUAAACUACUGUCUGACCAAUGAUUAAGUCAUCAAAGUUGAUUCAAAGAACGACUUGAUGAGUAGGAGCCAUGUUGGAGCCAAACCGGAGGUUCAGUCAGUUCAGCUGCUCAGAUUUGUUGUAGUCAUACCAAAGCCACCGCCCUCCCCAAACCGACGUUCUGACCCGGCUGGCCUUUUCCCAAACAACCGUUUGGCUCCAUAAUCCAUGACAGGAGAUGGAGGCAGUACGGGAUCAAAAGCAAGGCAUGAAACCCUAAAGAAGCCAUAACUCUGGUGUUUGUGUUUCGAGUAAAUGCCAAAGCACCCCCUUGACCCACCCAGACGUCUGGGGAUCAUCUGCCCUCCGUUUAAUACAGGGUUAUUGUCAUUCUAUCAAACAAAAUCACAUCUGAACCAAAAUAUUUGGAUUCCCGCCAUGCCGAGCACUAAAUUAGGGAACAAAUGUAAACGGGGGGAGCCGCUUUAUGACACGCACCGUAAACAUACCGUAAAGUAGAUUGCCAUCGGUACAUUUCUUUAAAAAGCAGCAGAGAAAUGUCUGCUGGAUGUCGAAGGCAGAAGUCGGCUCGCUGUAAAAUUGCUUUCUAACUAGAGUGAAACAGAGUGGCUCUUUUGUCUGCGAUAAUUAGGGCCGUAUUCUGUUUUGCAUAAUCGCCUAGAAAGAUUAAAAAGGAAUUCAGAUGAAGCAUUACCAAAACAGUGAUAACGCCACAGGAGAACGUUAUCAAUGUAUCUGUUUCAAAACCUUGAUUUUUCCUUUUUUUUUUCUUUUCUUGGUCUUAUUUUGACAACCUAUAUAUAGCUCGUUUAACCUUCAGUGUCUGUUUCUCAAAUGAAAUUGCACCGUGAAGGAAAAAAGAAAAAGAAAUACUCAUAUUACCGUGAAAAACGAUGGCUUUUCUCUGGAACAAUAAGCAGUCCUUGAACUCCACGUCAUUAAAGUGAACGCCAUCAUUUCCUUUCAUUAAGAUGACUGUGUGCAGACACAUAUUGCAGUUGGAAGGCGAAGCUGCGGCAGGAGACUCAUUUAAAAACCGCCCUAAUCUGGAAAAUGAUCCUAAUGUUUCUCAAAUGUUAUAUCCUCCCCAACCUUUUGGCGCGCGAGACGCUUUAAAGGGGCUGUACGAUUUCCAGGCGUUUAAGCAGAUCGCUCCUUUUGAAAAUAAAUAAAUAAAUAAAAGAUGCACCCUGAGUGCUGCUUUUUCUGUUUUCACAUAUAUUGCCAAUAUUUCUGACAAUAAAUACUGGGGGGUGGGGAGGAUUGGAUAAAAUUCAUAUCCUCUUUCGCUGGUAGAUUAUGGGGAUUUCAUGCAAAAGAGGGCCUCUCGUGAAAUUGCGAGCCUCUACUACUGCUGCGUCUUUGUUGGGUGUCAAAGUAUAGAAAUAGCCAUGCCCUCUCCUGUUUUGCUCAUUUGACUCAACGGGUGUGAAACAGUCCCUCAUAUCCCUGUCUUGUCUAUAAGAAAUGAAAUGACUUUAAGACUGCGCAGCGUUGCCACAGGCAGGUCGGCUGAAAGGCUAUUUCAGGAGAAAUGGACAUGGACAUAAAUAUCCUCGCGGGGUGCUUUGUAAUAAAAAAAAAAAAGAAAAAAGAAAAGGAAACACAAUGUUAUGAAAUGCAGUGAAACAUAAAGAGGGGAAGAGGCAGGGGUAUGUAGUGGGGGUGGUGGUGGAGGGCAAAUAUCCAUCAAAUUAACACAUCAGUGGCUUUGAUUGUAAUCUCUGGGCCCUGGCUCUCUCGCUCUGGCACACCAGACAAGCAGCCAAACGUGAUUUAUCAAUGCAAAGCUAAUGGCAUCAAUAUGAAUCUAACUAAAAAUCAAUAUUUCAUUACCAAAUUGUUAGCGAGAAUGAAGAAAAAUGGCCGCGGCCGGAGCGCUCUCCGGGGUAGGAGCAUCUGGAGUUCAAUGUGACAAGAUGAGCGAUGCGUGACUCGGGGCUCGAGGAAGGACACGGCGAGGACAGGACUCAGUCUGGGCACACUUUGAACUCUAUCUCUCUCCGUCUUCCUCUGCCUCCUCCUCGUUUUCAGCCAACUCCGACAAAGCCCCCCCAUCUCUCUACACUUUAUUAUGUUUUUCGCCGUUCGCUUCCGCUUUUCAUAUCUUUAUCACACCGUUUCCUCUAUCAAUCUCCGCCUCGCGUGUCAGCGACGGUGUCGGCGGAGGACCACACAGUGUUUCGCGUUCCUCCUCAAUUAAUGACCAACUCGAACAUGGAGCCUCUCAAUCUCUCCCACCCUCU